GGGGUGUUAGUCUAAGUUUAAGACAUGGGUUUUCGGGGCCUGAGAUUAUUGCGUAAAUAUGUCCUU
rnacentral:tRNA from 1 species